rnacentral:rRNA from 1 species
UACGUAGGGUGCAAGCGUUGUCCGGAAUUAUUGGGCGUAAAGAGCUCGUAGGCGGUUCGUCGCGUCGGCUGUGAAAACCCGGAGCUCAACUCCGGGCCUGCAGUCGAUACGGGCGGACUAGAGUGUUGCAGGGGAGACUGGAAUUCCUGGUGUAGCGGUGAAAUGCGCAGAUAUCAGGAGGAACACCGGUGGCGAAGGCGGGUCUCUGGGCAACUACUGACGCUGAGGAGCGAAAGCGUGGGGAGCAAACAGG